rnacentral:rRNA from 1 species
UACAGAGGUCUCAAGCGUUUGUUCGGAUUCAUUGGGCGUAAAGGGUGCGUAGGCGGCGCGGUAAGUCGGGGUGUGAAAUCUCGGAGCUUAACUCCGAAACUGCAUUCGAUACUGCCGUGCUUGAGGACUGGAGAGGAGACUGGAAUUUACGGUGUAGCGGUGAAAUGCGUAGAUAUCGUAAGGAAGACCAGUGGCGAAGGCGGGUCUCUGGACAGUUCCUGACGCUGAGGCACGAAGGUCAGGGGGAGCAAAACAGGG